ACAAGAGGCAGGGAGUGGGUUAGAGUGAAGCAGCAGGUGGCAGUGAGGGUGGAGAGAAGAAACGAAAUAUAGUCCUUGCCACAGAGAAAGAAGCGCUCCCUUGACCUAGAGGCCGGUGUCCUCCCAUGGAUGGCCUUUAAAACAACUGGCUGGCAUAUAAUAAGAGGGGCACCUGUUGGAAGACUCCGGAGAAGGAAGACGCAUCUGAAAUUUGGUGCCAUGACUCGAAUCGGGGGACCUCCCUUGGAAGAUCAAUCCCCUGUCCUCCUGCUCUUUACUCCAUGAGAAAGAUCCACCUACAACCUCUGGUCCUCAGGCCAACCAGCCCAAGGAACAUCUCACCAAUUUUAUAUCCGGUACCCACUGGAAAUUGGACUCUCCAACUCACCCGGCAGCCACUCCCAGAGCCACUGGAACUCUGGCCCAACGCUCUCUGACUGACUCCUUCCCAGAUCAUCUCAGCUUAGCGGCUGAAGAUUGAUGCUGCCCAAUCACCUCAGAAGCUUCCUGGACCAUCACAUACGCUUUGGGUAACUCUUACAGUGGAGGGGUGGCCUUGGCAAAAGAGGAAGUCAAAUCUGGAACCAAGGGGUCCCAGCCCAUGUCCCCCUCUGAUUUCCUAGACAAACUUAUGGGGCGAACAUCUGGAUAUGAUGCCAGGAUUCGGCCCAAUUUUAAAGGCCCACCCGUGAACGUGACCUGCAACAUCUUCAUCAACAGUUUCAGCUCCAUCACCAAGACCACAAUGGACUACCGGGUGAAUGUCUUCUUGCGGCAACAGUGGAAUGACCCACGCCUGUCCUACCGAGAAUAUCCUGAUGACUCUCUGGACCUCGAUCCCUCCAUGCUGGACUCUAUCUGGAAGCCAGACCUCUUCUUUGCUAAUGAGAAAGGGGCCAACUUCCAUGAGGUGACCACGGACAACAAGUUACUGCGCAUCUUCAAGAAUGGGAAUGUGCUGUACAGCAUCAGGCUGACCCUCAUUUUGUCCUGCCUGAUGGACCUCAAGAACUUCCCCAUGGACAUCCAGACCUGCACGAUGCAGCUUGAGAGCUUUGGCUACACCAUGAAAGACCUCGUGUUUGAGUGGCUGGAAGAUGCUCCUGCUGUCCAAGUGGCUGAGGGGCUGACUCUGCCCCAGUUUAUCUUGCGGGAUGAGAAGGAUCUAGGCUGUUGUACCAAGCACUACAACACAGGUGUCCUACGUGAAGGCAAUCGACAUCUGGAUGGCUGUGUGUCUGCUCUUUGUGUUCGCUGCCUUGCUGGAGUAUGCUGCCAUAAAUUUUGUUUCUCGUCAGCAUAAAGAAUUCAUACGACUUCGAAGAAGGCAGAGGCGCCAACGCUUGGAGGAAGAUAUCAUCCAAGAAAGUCGUUUCUAUUUCCGUGGCUAUGGCUUGGGCCACUGCCUGCAGGCAAGAGAUGGAGGUCCAAUGGAAGGUUCUGGCAUUUAUAGUCCCCAACCUCCAGCCCCUCUUCUAAGGGAAGGAGAAACCACGCGGAAACUCUACGUGGACUGAGCCAAGAGAAUUGACACCAUCUCCCGGGCUGUCUUCCCUUUCACUUUCCUCAUCUUCAAUAUCUUCUACUGGGU
ensembl:lncRNA novel transcript